rnacentral:rRNA from 1 species
UACGGGGGGGUAAGCGUUGUUCGGAAUUACUGGGCGUAAAGGGCUCGUAGGCGGCCAACUAAGUCAGACGUGAAAUCCCUCAGCUUAACUGGGAACUGCGUCUGAUACUGGAUGGCUUGGAUUUGGGAGAGGAAUGCGGAAUUCCAGGUGUAGCGGUGAAAUGCGUAGAUAUCUGGAGGAACACCGGUGGCGAAGGCGGCAUUCUGGACCAAUAUUGACGCUGAGGAGCGAAAGCCAGGGGAGCAAAGCGGGAU